rnacentral:rRNA from 1 species
CUGGCGGCGUGCUUAACACAUGCAAGUCGAACGCGAAAGGGACUUCGGUCCUGAGUAAAGUGGCGGCACGGGUGAGUAACGCGUAGAUAACCUGUCUUCAUGUCUGGAAUAAUACGCCGAAAGGGGUACUAAUACCGGAUAUUCUUGCUUUCCAUAAGUUAUGCAAGCAAAGGUGGCCUCUGCAUAUGCUACUGCAUGAAGAGGGGUCUGCGUACCAUUAGCUAGUAGGUGGGGUAAUGGCCUACCUAGGCGACGAUGGUUAGCGGGUCUGAGAGGAUGAUCCGCCACACUGGCACUGGAACACGGGCCAGACUCCUACGGGAGGCAGCAGUGAGGAAUAUUGCGCAAUGGGGGAAACCCUGACGCAGCGACGCCGCGUGAGUGAGGAAAGGCCUUCGGGUCGUAAAGCUCUGUCAAGAGGAAAGAAGUGUACAAUGGCUAAUACCUGUCGUAUUUGACGGUACCUCUAAAGGAAGCACCGGCUAACUCCGUGCCAGCAGCUGC